AUACGGAGGGUGCAAGCGUUAAUCGGAAUUACUGGGCGUAAGCGUACGUAGGCGGCAAGUUAAGUUAGAUGUGAAAGCCCCGGGCUCAACCUGGGAACUGCAUUUAAAACUGGCUUGCUAGAGUUGAGUAGAGGGGAGUGGAAUUUCAGGUGUAGCGGUGAAAUGCGUAGAGAUCUGAAGGAACACCAGUGGCGAAGGCGACUCCCUGGACUCGAACUGACGCUGAGGUACGAAAGCGUGGGUAGCAAACGGGAUUAGAAACCCUAGUAGUCC
rnacentral:rRNA from 1 species